GGAAGGAAUUUUUAAGGUCGGAAUACAAUUCUCUCCAUGGAGGGAGAGAUUCGUGAUUAGUAAACGAGGUGUCUGGUCGGAUUGAGGAACAAAUUGCAGAAAAGAAAUCUUGCUUGGGAGUGGUGGCAGUUCUAGUAAACUCGGAAGUGGGAGUAGGGGCCUCCGGCAGGCGAAGACAAGGAUUUGAGCACCAACUUGAACAGGCUUUUGAGGCCUCUCUGACGCAAGCAGAAAAAAGUUUCAUAUGUGCAAGUUUCUGGAAUGGUUAUUGAAUGCGUUACCGCAGGGGCGAAUUUUCCAGCAUAUGCUGAUUGACCAUGUCUACCAUGGAUUGCAGUGCCUUCCCUCUCACAUCUCAAUGUCGUAUACGGGGCGUUUAGUGCUUUCUUUCCUUUACUCUUUGUACUCUGAGAUAAAUCGGUCAAUAUCACCUUUCUUUGUUAUUGUCAACCAUCAUGUGAGGGGUAUAAUGUACAUUUUCUUUCAUUUCCAUUAAAGGCGGAUUAGAAAGUUCUCCGGCUAACAGGCACCUCCCCGGAGGAAAAUCUUAUGAAGCCGAAUAUUUGUCAGGAUAUAAGUUUCUUGUGCAAGUACUACUUAGACAUGUAUACAGUUAUGCAAAAAUUGUAUCAUGGGACUUGAAAUCUCCACCUGAUUGGAUGCUUAAAACUUCCUAAGCC